rnacentral:snRNA from 1 species
GGAGGUGAGGGCGAUCUGGCUGUGAUUGCCAUGGUUGAUUCAGCUAAUCUGGCUGGCUAGGCAGGUGUCCCCUUGCUCUCUCACAGCACCAUGUGCGUUGCUUCCAAAGCUGCAUGCUUAUUCAAAGAGGACGACCAUCUGAUCUCCAAUCUUUGGUCUUCAGUUAAGGGUCAAGGGUACAGGAGUAACUGUGCUCCUCUGCUAGAACCUCCAAACAAAUUAUCAUAAUAUAUUAACAUUUUUUAACCGUGCUCUGAUAAUGAACAUUUGCAUCAGAAGCAAAUUACCAUAUUAAUAAUAGACUUGGCAGUAAUCAAUUAGAAUAU